rnacentral:lncRNA from 13 species
AUGAGUUAUCUGAAGCUCAGAGAGGUUACUCAGUUCUUGUUCCAACCCGCACGGGACCACACUCCAGGGGCUGACUUGCAGCUGCUCUCCAAACCCAGCAAGGCAGAUGUGCCCCUGCGCGUGCGAUGCCCACGUGGGGCAGCCCAGGCUGGGCGACAAGAGCAAGACUCCAACUCAAAAAAGAAAGAAAGAAAGAAAAGAGUGGAACAGGUUUGCUGGCCAAGAAGGAAAGACCAGGCUGAAGAGACAAGACACAGAAGGGCUGCUGAUGUCAGAGGGAGGGCGGAGGAGAGUGACCAAAAGGCAGAGCAGAAGGGGACCCUUCCUCUGAGGUGGUCAUUAUGCCCAUUUUGCUGCAGAAUGUUCUGGUCUGUGUUGAUAAACAACAGUUUGGGCAAUCGAGAGGCUGGAAGGGAAGCAGGAGGCACUGGGGGCGUUGAAGCUGACCUCACUGGGUACACACAUCUGGGUGUGGAGCACUCUGCAAACCACCUGAUGCCAUAA